GACGCUGAGGAGCGAAAGCAUGGGGAGCGAACAGGAUUAGAUACCCUGGUAGUCCAUGCCGUAAACGUUGGGCACUAGGUGUGGGGGACAUUCCACGUUUUCCGCGCCGUAGCUAACGCAUUAAGUGCCCCGCCUGGGGAGUACGGCCGCAAGGCUAAAACUCAAAGGAAUUGACGGGGGCCCGCACAAGCGGCGGAGCAUGCGGAUUAAUUCGAUGCAACGCGAAGAACCUUACCAAGGCUUGACAUGAACCGGUAAUACCUGGAGACAGGUGCCCCGCUU
rnacentral:rRNA from 1 species